UACGGAGGGUGCAAGCGUUAUCCGGAUUUACUGGGUUUAAAGGGUGCGUAGGUGGGUAGGUAAGUCAGUGGUGAAAUCUUCAAGCUUAACUUGGAAACUGCCAUUGAUACUAUUUAUCUUGAAUACUUUGGAGGUAAGCGGAAUAUGCCAUGUAGCGGUGAAAUGCUUAGAUAUGACAUAGAACACCAAUUGCGAAGGCAGCUUACUACACAGUUAUUGACACUGAGGCACGAAAGCGUGGGGAUCAAACAGG
rnacentral:rRNA from 1 species